UUAUCGGAAUGAGAACAAUUCAAAUCCUUUAACGAGGAUCUAGCGGAGGGCAAGUCUGGUGCCAGCAGCCGCGGUAAUUCCAGCUCCGCAGGUGUAUAUCUAUGCUGCUGCGGUUAAAAAGCUCGUAGUUGGAUCUGCGUGCUCGGAACUGGUUGGCUCACUGAGUUCAAACUGGUCUCCGGCGCUUUAUUGGCUGGUUUUCCCUUGAUGCUCUUAACCGGGUGUCUUGGGUGGCUAGCACGUUUACUUUGAAAAAAUUAGGGUGCUCAAUACAGGCGUAAAGCCUUGAAUAGUGGUACAUAGAAUAAUAGAAUAGGACCUCGGCUCUAUUUUGUUGGUUUUCGGAACGCGAGGUAAUGAUUAAGAGGGACAGACGGGGGCAUUCGUAUUGCGACGUUAGAGGUGAAAUUCUUGGAUCGUCGCAAGACGGACGACUGCGAAAGCAUUUGCCAAGAAUGUUUUCAUUAAUCAAGAACGAAAGUUAGAGGUUCGAAGGCGAUCAGAUACCGCCCUAGUUCUAACCGUAAACGAUGCCAACUAGCGAUUCGCAGGCGUUAAACAACGACCUUGCGGGCAGCUUCCCGGAAACGAAAGUGUUCGGGUUCCGGGGGAAGUAUGGUUGCAAAGCUGAAACUUAAAGGAAUUGACGGAAGGGCACCACCAGGAGUGGAGCCUGCGGCUUAAUUUGACCCAACACGGGAAAACUCACCCGGCCCGGACGCCGUAAGGAUUGACAGAUUGAGAGCUCUUUCUUGAUUCGGUGGGUGGUGGUGCAUGGCCGUUCUUAGUUGGUGGAGCGAUUUGUCUGGUUUAUUCCGAUAACGAACGAGACUCUGGCCUACUAAAUAGUGGGCGGAUUCUUUCUGUCCGCAACACUUCUUAGAGGGACAAGCGGUGUUCAGCCGCACGAGAUUGAGCAAUAACAGGUCUGUGAUGCCCUUAGAUGUCCGGGGCUGCACGCGCGCUACACUGAAGGAAUCAGCGUGCUUUCUGACCUUGCCCGAAAGGGCUGGGUAACCCGAUGAAAAUCCUUCGUGAUUGGGAUAGGGACUUGCAAUUAUUUCCCUUGAACGAGGAAUUCCCAGUAAGUGUGGGUCAUAAGCUCGCGUUGAUUACGUCCCUGCCCUUUGUACACACCGCCCGUCGCUGCCCGGAACUGAGCCGUUUCGAGAAGAACAGGGACCGUCGUUGAAGGGCCUUAACGGGCUUUUCUCUGAUAGAAACUGUU
rnacentral:rRNA from 1 species